CUACGGGCGGCACCAGUGAGGAAUAUUGCGCAAUGGAGGAAACUCUGACGCAGCCACGCCGCGUGGUGGAUGACACCCCUAUGGGGCGUAAACACCUUUUGUGAGAGAAGAAGGCACUGGUCGCCAGUGUCAGACGGUACCUCACGAAUAAGCACCGGCUAACUCCGUGCCAGCAGCCGCGGUAAUACGGAGGGUGCAAGCGUUGUCCGGAAUCACUGGGUGUAAAGGGUGUGUAGGCGGAGCUGUAAGUCAGAGGUGAAAUCCCACGGCUUAACCGUGGAACUGCCUUUGAUACUGCAGCCCUUGAGUAUCGGAGAGGUUGCUGGAAUUCGUGGUGUAGCGGUGAAAUGCGUAGAUAUCACGAGGAACACCAGAGGCGUAGGCGGGCAACUGGACGAUUACUGACGCUGAGGCACGAAAGCGUGGGGAGCAAACAGGAUUAGAUACCCGCGUAGUC
rnacentral:rRNA from 1 species